rnacentral:rRNA from 1 species
GAUGAACGCUAGCGGCAGGCUUAACACAUGCAAGUCGAGGGGCAGCACGUCUUCGGAUGGUGGCGACCGGCGCACGGGUGCGUAACGCGUAUACAAUCUACCUUUUACAGGGGCAUAGCCCGGGGAAACCCGGAUUAAUAUCCCAUGGUAUCAUUUUGUGGCAUCACUUGAAUGAUUAAAGUUUCGGCGGUAAAAGAUGAGUAUGCGUCCUAUUAGCUAGAUGGUAAGGUAACGGCUUACCAUGGCAACGAUAGGUAGGGGUCCUGAGAGGGAGAUCCCCCACACUGGUACUGAGACACGGACCAGACUCCUACGGGAGGCAGCAGUGAGGAAUAUUGGACAAUGGGCGAGAGCCUGAUCCAGCCAUGCCGCGUGCAGGAAGACUGCCCUAUGGGUUGUAAACUGCUUUUAUACGGGAAGAAACACCCUCACGUGUGAGGGCUUGACGGUACCGUAUGAAUAAGGAUCGGCUAACUCCGUGCCAGCAGCCGCGGUAAUAC